ensembl:antisense 5830468F06Rik RIKEN cDNA 5830468F06 gene
CUUUUUAGUUUAUAAUUUGUGGCUCUGAAUAAGUCAGUGGGAGACUUUCCAGUGGAGUAAGCCAGCCUACACUAAACGCAUGGUGCGAAACCCAGACAAAGGAAUACUGUCACCAGGCAACUGGACUCGGUUGGACUCCAUGUUCUUGGGCGUGACAGGUGUGCCACACUAUCUAGAUGUGUGGUCCGACACCAGUCGACUGUAACCCGGAGCACUUUUGAGACAAGACCAGCACAAGUCAUCAGACUGAAUAAAUCCAGAUGUCCUCUGUUCUCUGAUGAGCGCCUUACCUGGUCAGCCCACAGCUUAGGAGAAGGAGAUGGAGGUGUCUGAGGGAGAGAGAACCCAGCCUCCGGGCUCACACUGCACCGCCAGCUCUUUGUGGUACGCCAACACACUUCCUGUGAUUGUACCUAAACACCUGAGCUGGGAAGUUUAUAAAACAUAGAAAGCUAUUUAUCUCUGAGGAUGUGCAAGUCCAAGGACAUGGCACUGGCCGUCGUCUGCAUGGCUUCUGGCACAGUACUUGGUGCUGCUUCAAGGAAUGCCCGAGAGCACAGGGUAAGUGGUGCUUAUACAAGACACACACACACACACACACACACACACACACGAGCGUGCACUCACGAUGAACCAAGCCCUACAGAGUUUGCACGGGAGCAUCACCAACCUCCAAAUGACCAAGUACAUGUCAUGGGGAACCGAGCCUCCAGGACAGCCUUUCAGGGGAGACUCUUUACCCAAACGGUAAAGCAGGACCACGCCUCAAUAAGUCCUGGAGAACAAUCACAUUCAGAGCUCAGGACCUGGAGGCCCUGCCUGCUGAGCUGCCCUACCAGUGGGGGCUUUGUCAUGGGCUACAUUCAUUGUCAACCUGACUGGAUUUGGAAUCAUCUAGAAUACACACCUCUGAAGGGAAGAACCACCCCGAAUGUGGGAGGCACCAUCUUCAUGCUAAAAUUGAAGGAAGCAUGCCGAGCCAACGUUCAUCCUCUCCCUGCUUCUGGACUGAAUGCGACCCAAUCACUUCAUGUUCUUGCUGCCAUGGUGGUCCAUGGAUCAAAUCCUGAGCCAGAAUAAAUCCCUUUCCCC